rnacentral:rRNA from 1 species
UGACUGCUAUCGGAUGAUACUAAGCCAUGCGAGUCAUUGUAGCAAUACAAGGCAGACGGCUCAGUAACGCGUAGUCAACCUACCCUAUGGACAGGAAUAACCUCGGGAAACUGAGUAUAAUGCCCGAUAGAACAUUAUGCCUGGAAUGGUUUAUGUUCCAAAUGAUUUAUCGCCGUAGGAUGGGACUGCGGCCUAUCAGUUUGUUGGUGAGGUAAUGGCCCACCAAGACUAUUACAGGUACGGGCUCUGAGAGGAGUGGCCCGGAGAUGGGUACUGAGACACGGACCCAGGCCCUAUGGGGCGCAGCAGGCGAGAAAACUUUGCAAUGUGCGAAAGCACGACAAGGUUAAUCCGAGUGAUUUCUGCUAAAGAAAUCUUUUACCAGUCAUAAAACCACUGGUGAAUAAGGGGUGGGCAAGUUCUGGUGUCAGCCGCCGCGGUAAAACCAGCACCUCAAGUGGUCAGGAUGAUUAUUGGGCCUAAAGCAUCCGUAGCCGGCUUUGUAAGUUUUCGGUUAAAUCCAUGUGCUCAACGCAUGGGCUGCCGAAAAUACUGCAUGGCUAGGGAGUGGGAGAGGUAGACGGUACUCAGUAGGAAGGGGUAAAAUCCUUUGAUCUAUUGAUGACCACCUGUGGCGAAGGCGGUCUACCAGAACACGUUCGACGGUGAGGGAUGAAAGCUGGGGGAGCAAACCGGAUUAGAUACCCGGGUAGUCCCAGCUGUAAACGAUGCAGACUCGAUGAUGCAUUGGCAUAAUAGCCAGUGCAGUGUCGCAGGGAAGCCGUUAAGUCUGCCGCCUGGGAAGUACGUACGCAAGUAUGAAACUUAAAGGAAUUGGCGGGGGAGCACCACAAGGGUGAAGCCUGCG